rnacentral:lncRNA from 1 species
GUGGGGAAAAUGCCCUCACCUAGAACUGGAAAGGAUGACAGUGCUGCCCUUGCAGGUGGCUGUGAGGAGCAGACCAGACAGUGCAAGCAGAGGACAGGGCCUCGUGAGCCCAGCCCAAGGCUCCUGCUGCCUUCCCAGAAGAGCGAGUCCCUCACACCAUGGGAACAAGGUCUCCAGGGACAGGUGACCUCUGUCUGGCCCUGCAGAGGAAGCACAGCCACUAGGGUGCUGAGCCGGUGCCCAGGAGCCCUCACACUGGAGCAGCCCAGAAUACAGCACGACCUCCCCCCGACUUUGCCGUUGAGCAACGUCUGUGUGCUUUGAGGUAAAACCUUCUCUGCCCAGGAUACCCCUGAAUGAUGAUGUCCCUGUGGACACAUUUGAUGUUACUUCUUCUCUGCUCUGGAUCCAGCCUGGCCAGACUGCCAGCUCUGGCUCUGUGAUGAACCCAUCCCCAGGUUCACCCAAGGCACCCCCAGGAUUAUGAACUACGAAACCCCGGGUGAUGGGUGGCCUCUGAUGGUUUGGACCUGGGAUGUCCCCAGAGGCCAUAUGUCUACAGAUUUUUCCCCCAGAGUGGUGCUAUUGUGAGGUUGUGGAACUUUUACAAUGUAGGGGCUGGGGGAGACCUUCAGGUCACCGGGGGCAUUGUCCUGAAAGGGCAAGAAAGCCCCUUUCUUUUCCUUUGGCUUCCGGACUAGGAAGUGAGCUCUUUUGCUCCACUGUGCACUUCUGCCAUGAGGAGAUGCCACCUGCUCAAGGCAAUAAGGAUGACUGGUCACAGACAGAAACCUCUAACACUCC